rnacentral:rRNA from 1 species
UGCCGGUAAUCCGGCACGAGCGCAACCCCAUCUUUAGUUGCCAGCAGUUCGGCUGGGCACUCUAGAGAAACUGCCCGUGAUAAGCGGGAGGAAGGUGUGGAUGACGUCAAGUCCUCAUGGCCCUUACGGGUUGGGCUACACACGUGCUACAAUGGUGGUGACAGUGGGUUAAUCCCCAAAAGCCAUCUCAGUUCGGNAUUGGGGUCUGCAACUCGACCCCAUGAAGUCGGAAUCGCUAGUAAUCGCGUAACAGCAUGACGCGGUGAAUACGUUCCCGGGCCUUGUACACAC